GGAGCUCUCCCAUAUGGUCGACCUGCAGGCGGCCGCGAAUUCACUAGUGAUUGUUUGAUCCUGGCUCAGAUUGAACGCUGGCGGCAGGCUUAACACAUGCAAGUCGAACGGUAACAGAGAAUAGCUUGCUAUUUUGCUGACGAGUGGCGGACGGGUGAGUAAUGCUUGGGAAUUUGCCGAAAGGUGGGGGACAACAGUUGGAAACGACUGCUAAUACCGCAUAAUGUCUACGGACCAAAGGUGGCCUCUAUUUAUAUGCUAUCGCCUUUCGAUGAGCCCAAGUGGGAUUAGCUAGUUGGUAAGGUAAUGGCUUACCAAGGCGACGAUCCCUAGCUGGUCUUAGAGGAUGACCAGCCACACUGGAACUGAGACACGGUCCAGACUCCUACGGGAGGCAGCAGUGGGGAAUAUUGCACAAUGGGGGAAACCCUGAUGCAGCCAUGCCGCGUGUGUGAAGAAGGCUUUCGGGUUGUAAAGCACUUUCAGCGAGGAGGAAAGGGUGAUGGCUAAUAUCCAUCAUCUGUGACGUUACUCGCAGAAGAAGCACCGGCUAACUCCGUGCCAGCAGCCGCGGUAAUACGGAGGGUGCAAGCGUUAAUCGGAAUUACUGGGCGUAAAGCGCGCGUAGGUGGUUAAUUAAGUCAGAUGUGAAAGCCCAGGGCUCAACCUUGGAACUGCAUUUGAAACUGGUUGACUAGAGUUUUGUAGAGGGUGGUAGAAUUUCAGGUGUAGCGGUGAAAUGCGUAGAGAUCUGAAGGAAUACCAGUGGCGAAGGCGGCCACCUGGAC
rnacentral:rRNA from 1 species